UUGACGGAGAGUUUGAUCCUGGCUCAGGACGAACGCUGGCGGCGUGCCUAACACAUGCAAGUCGAACGAGGUCGCCUUCGGGCAAUGACCAAGUGGCGAACGGGUGCGUAACACGUGAGAAACCUGCCCCGAAGACUGGGACAACCACGGGAAACUGUGGCUAAUACCAGAUGCCCUCCGCUGAUCGCAUGAUCGGCAGAGGAAAUGCUCCGGCGCUUCGGGAGGGUCUCGCGGCCUAUCAGCUUGUUGGUGAGGUAACGGCUCACCAAGGCAUCGACGGGUAGCUGGUCUGAGAGGACGAUCAGCCACACUGGGACUGAGACACGGCCCAGACUCCUGCGGGAGGCAGCAGUGGGGAAUCUUGCGCAAUGGGCGAAAGCCUGACGCAGCAACGCCGCGUGGGGGAUGAAGGCUCUCGGGUUGUAAACCCCUUUCAGCAGGGACGAAAUUGACGGUACCUGCAGAAGAAGCCCCGGCCAACUACGUGCCAGCAGCCGCGGUGACACGUAGGGGGCGAGCGUUGUCCGGAAUUAUUGGGCGUAAAGAGCUCGUAGGCGGUUUAGUAAGUCAGAUGUGAAAGGUUGGGGCUCAACCCUAAGACUGCAUCCGAUACUGCUAUGACUAGAGUCCGGUAGAGGAGUGUGGAAUUCCUGGUGUAGCGGUGAAAUGCGCAGAUAUCAGGAGGAACACCGACGGCGAAGGCAGCACUCUGGGCCGGUACUGACGCUCAGGAGCGAAAGCGUGGGUAGCAAACAGGAUUAGAUACCCUGGUAGUCCACGCCGUAAACGUUGGGCACUAGGUGUGGGGCCUUAUCAACGGGUUCCGUGCCGUAGCUAACGCAUUAAGUGCCCCGCCUGGGGAGUACGGCCGCAAGGCUAAAACUCAAAGGAAUUGACGGGGGCCCGCACAAGCAGCGGAGCGUG
rnacentral:rRNA from 1 species